rnacentral:rRNA from 1 species
AUGGCCGAAUGCUUCAAUAGGGUGCUCAAAGGUGCACGUGGAUUACCCGUGACGGCAAUAGUUCAAUACACAUUUGACAAGAUGAAUGCGUACUUUGUAAAGUACUCGAUGGAAACCGAUGCGCAGAUAGCGGGUGAGAACCCACGGAAGUACAAGUACAAGUUCCCACCCAAAGUAGAUGAAUGGUUGCUAUUUCAAUCACGGAAGGCGGACUCAGAAGAAGCUAUAUUGUAUGACAACAAAGAGUGGAAGUACGAAGUGAAAGAGCCAGGAGGAACCACAAAUGAUGGCCGGCAACAUGGAGGGAAGGCUUUCAAGGUGAACUUAACACAGUGUGAUUGCACUUGCGGGAGGCCAUUGUUGCUUCAUCUCCCGUGCUCACACUUGUAUACGGCCGGUCGCGUUAGGAAUGUGGACAUCAAUCACCCACGCACCGUGAGGGAGUCGGAGUUCUCAAUUAUGACGGUCAAGAAAACAUGGGCUCCUUGCUUUCACCCGUACCUUGACCAAUCACAAUGGCCGGAGUAUCAUGGAGUUCAACAAGAGCCUCGUGAGAAAUCCCGUUGUGGGGAGUGCAAAGGGCAAGGCCACAACAAAAGGAAAUGUACGAAACCAAGGAAAAGGUCCAAGACAAAUGAUGCAAGCACAAGCCAACAAGGGGGUCAACCAAGUGGUAGCCAACAAGUGCCAAGCCAACCAAGUGGUAGCCAACAAGUGCCAAGCCAACCUAGAGGUAGCCAACAAGUGCGAAGGCAACCACGCGGUAGCCAUCAAGUGCCAAGGCAACCAAGUGGUGGCCAACCUAGCGGUAGCCAACAAGUGCCAAGCCAACCAAGUGGUAGCCAACCUAGUGGUAGCCAACAAGUGCCAACGCAACCAAGUGGUAGCCAAGCAAGCGUUAUCCAAAUAGGAUCUAGGCAGCAAAGAGGUCGGCAACUUGGACUUACAAGAGGCAGUGGUGGUGGUAGAGCUCGUGGUGGUGGUCUAGGCCGUGGUGGUGGAAGAGCUCGUGGAGGUGGACUUGGCCGCGGUGAUGGACAAGGGCAAGUUCGUUAUAGAGGAAUGGUUGGAUACCUAGAUGGACCGUUUCCGUAUGUUCCUCACUAA